CUCUCUCUCUCCUUUUUUUCUCUCUUUUCAAUGGCUGUGUUUGAGAUGAACUCUGGCAGCAAGCAAGGCUGUCUCAAAGGGCAUGUGCCAUGGUGUGGAUGCAUCAGAUCCUCCUUUGUGCUAAGCGUACACUGAUAAAGGCUCGCUGAGUAGCGCCUACGGGUGGUUGAUGCAGCUGGAUGGUGCACAGAGUGCUUGUAAUUGCUUCUGCUGUCUUCUGGGAUGUGCUUCCAGCAAGUCAGGACACCUGGUAACGUGCUCGUAACAUCUAUUAGCCUUGUAAUUUUAUAAGUGGAGCUUUAAUCCUGCCUGGUUGCCAGUCAGGUCUGGAAACACUGACACUGGUGCUCCAGGGUCUCUGCUGAAAUGCUCUGCCUGGUCUCCGGGCUUGCUGGAUUUUGCUGCUCUUUGUUGUUUCCUCCUCCUUGGCAGAUGUUCCACUCCCUCGCUCAGGUCAAAUCCUGCCCUUGUCUGUUAGACUUCUCCCUGCGUCCUGCUGUAACGUGGAUGUUUGAACGUUGAUCCUUUGCCAGCCAGGUCCCAAUGCGUGCUGUUUCCCCCUUUACAGGCAGCAGACACCCUGCAGUUGAGGAGCUGUCAGGCUAAAGGGGACAGCAUUCCUGUAAAGCCCCGGUGGCACCGGGCUUUGUGCCACUGGAGCGAGAGCUAGGCCUCCUGCGGAGAGAAGAUGGCUUAGAGAACACCUGCUUCGUGUGAGCUGCUGAGAGCUGGUCCCCUGCGGGAUGCGGAGUCCCCGUGCUGCCAGCUGGCUGUGCGAAGUCCGGAGCCCAGCCGGGCAGGAGAUGGAGGGAAGGGGGCAUCCAUCCUGUGUGGGCUGUGAGCAGCCCCAGGGCUGAGCCACCACCAGGAAGCUGGAAAAGAACCGAGCAGAGCUUCUAACCAGCCGGCUUUCCCCAGAACCUGGUGGGCCCAGCGUCUUCUCCAAGGCCUGCUUGAAGCAGAGGCGUGAGGUGUCGUGCCAGGCUGCCCAGCUGGUGAAGUCCUGGCCUGCAGCCAUCCAUCCCCACCUGGGAAGGUGGCCCCUGGAGAAGGGCUGGCAGCAGCGUCCUGCUCUGUGGGAAGACCCAAAGAAAGAAGCUGCUGGCAGUCGUCCCGGAGGGGAUGCAGAGCACGCAGGAGGAUCUCAGGGUGGAGUUUGAGGACACAGGGCAGCCCAACUCCCAGCUCCAGCUCUGGGGCAGCCCUGGUGAAUGUUCUUGGCAGCACUGCGAGGGACUGGUGUGCUGUGGGGAGGACGCACCGCACCAAACUCUCGCUUGUCUCUGUUCUCCUUAGGGCAUUCUUCAUUCAUUAAACUUGUUACCGGGGCAGCUUUGGGGAAGUAACCAGUUCCCUGAAAGGAGAAGCCUUUCCUGAUCGAGUGCCAAGUGCUGGGCUUUAGGUGAACUCCUGUGUUGGGCAGAGCAGGGUGGGGAAGGCAGGGGAUUCUUGUCGUGUGCUUGGUUACCAGUGGCCAUGGACAAGAAUCCAAAGCACCAAACAAAACCAAAGAGGUGGUUUCAAUCACCUGCAGUCGGAUGCUCCUGGGGAGCAGAGCAAAGCUUUAAACGGAGAACACGGCCUGCUUCUAGUUUACAUGUCUUCGUCUUGCUUGGCUCUAAAUGGGAUUUCAGGUGUGUUGCUCCAAAAUAAGCAGCAAGAAUCAAUUUAGGGUGAGUGCAAUCGUUCUCUUUCACUGUCACAGUUAGCGGGGACACGAUUGCAGCCAGCGCCCCUGUGGCAGGGCUGUUGUGAAAUAACAAGCCGGCAAGUCCAGUAUCCUUAUUUAUAUUUUGUUUUAAAAAAUACCAAAAUUAUCACGUUUCCUGCAGACGUGGACUGAGAGGAAUGGGUGGUUCUGCUUCUGGCAGGUCUUUCUGAUAAAGGCCUGCUGCUUUUAGCAAGCGUCGUGGCGCUCGAGUCACUGCUGGGACUCAGCGUCUCCUCUUUCGCUGCUUCUGCUGCACCUACUAGGAGACAGGUAUCUUCUGUGCAAGGGGUUUUAAGGAGUCACUUAAGUCUGAAAAGGAAACGGGCUAUAAGCCAUGUGCAAUUUUUUGUUCUUCCUCUGCCCCUGUAGGGAAUAUGUGCAGGAAUCUGUAUUUCGUUAAUUGAAACUGUUUCUUGCUUUGCAGGGAAAAAAGAUGCAAACUAUGACUGCAGAAAAUGGAAGUGUAAACAAGAAAACACAAACAGUGCUUCAUUUUGGAGACAUUGUUCCUUAAGAACACGAAGCCUUCUAGGCCCGGAGGAUCUGUGAAUCAAGUAUCAAUUGGUGUGAUGUACUGGAAAAGGAAAUGUUUAACUUCUGUGUUUAUGUCCAGUGAAGCUCAAUGAAGCCUUGGGGGGCGAGGAGGGUUGAAAAGGUUUCAAAGGGACACGGCGCACAGAGCUUCUGGCUGUGCGUCCAGGACUCCUCAGGAGUUCCAUGGGAACGUUAGUAGUUUAUUCUCAGCAGUGUUUGUGGAAUGUGAGUCUGUAAUUUGGAAACUCUUUGCAUGACUUUCAGAUUUAGAAUUAAAGAGAAAUGUGGCCUAGAUCUUAAGCGACUGAGGAAGUUCUCCCCAGCGAAUACUGAGGUAUCCCAUAAGCAGUGCCUAGAAAACCAAAUCCCGUAAGGAUGUCUCCACAUGGAAUACAAAUUCAGUAGGCAAUUUAGGUGAUCUUGGACUUGGAAGUCACCGUGUCAUUUGGUGACAAGAAGAAAUCACUUGUGAAUUAUCUAUUAGAUUAAAUAUGCUCACCUAGAGCACAUGCCGCACAACUGAGCAUAAUGAGUACAGUCACUACAGAUGGAGUCUGCUCAUGUCUAAUAUGUGAACUGAGAAAGGAGCUAAAUCCCUUGAGCACCUGGCCCAACUUCUCCUAGCUCUACUGUCCGGUUGUAAAAGAGCAAAAUGUUUAGUUAAUGUCAGUAUCGAUGGCUUAGGAAGAUCAUAUCUGUAUUUAUUAUUACUGCUCAAUUUGGAAAAGAGUUCGGAAGCUUUCAGAGUGCCUUUUUGCUUUCUCUUACCCGCUUCUGUAGGGAUGCCAGCAGGUCACAGCCAGGCAGUUAUCCCCUCAGGUCAGGCAGUUUGCAGGUGGGUUGGUUGGGCAGGGAUUUUGGGAGGGUCCUUGACUUCUGUGCUGAGAUGCAGAGGGGUUCCUGCCUGGCGAGGCAGCACUUCUCACCUCUGCAGCUUGGAUUAGGGCAAGGGAAGAACAAACUGUCACUGUGAGCUGUUCUAGCCAACUCUCUUCUUCUGUCAACUGCCAACCCUGAUUUUAUGUUUAAUUAUUUACAUUAGAUCAUUAGCCCUGUGCUGGUUGCUGUAGGAGGCUAACGAUGUAAAACCCAUGCCAGGUUUAGACACCGUACAGGCUCCCGUGACAUCAGUGGAAUGAUGGGACUCGCUUCAGGACAUAACCCAAACCGUCUUGGUGUGUUGGCUGUGAGAGGAGUGGAUGGCUUCUCUUUUUCCCAGCUCACUGUCUCAGGAAAGCCCACAAGAUUGGGAAAAUGAACCCAUGUUCUGGUUGGAGUGAAUCCCUUCCCUGUAGGGCACGUGUGCUCAAAGACGGGGAGCUGGCAAAAUCUCCCCAUCCUCUGCACUUGGAACAGUAAGGUAUUUAACGCUUCCAUUUCACCUGUAUAUUAAAACCAAGUGUAUGGCUUCAGAAUCGCGUUCCUGCACUGGCCUGGAUCUCCCUUCUGUCUUCUCUGCCGUGCGUUUGAACAGGGUUUCUGAGGAAGACCCUGUCGGAGGUCCACCACACGCUUUCCAGAGGACCAGGACCAGGCUUGGGCAAGGCAGUACAGGGAGCAUCAAAUCAGUUAUUUGGAGAGCCUGGGCAAAACAAAAUGCAUCAGCCUCCGCUCUCCGGAGAGCGGAAACUCCAGGUAUUUCUUCUGAAGGUGCCUGAUAGUUACAAGCAGGUCUCCUCCCUUCCAGUGCCAGCGGUGAUGGCUGGUUGCUUGUUACUGCCCCGAUAUUAUUUCUGUGUCCCUGCAACCUGGGUGGACGUGUGUAUUUCUAGUUGUUCUUUUCUCAUGUUCUCCUUUCUGAACUUCCCUUUAGAGUUGACAAACUGUCUGUCUCGGUUAACGUUGGUCGCCUGGUGGCAGCGAGGUCGGGGACUGGAGGUGCCACACUCCAUUCCCGGGUCCGGACGAGCUCUGGGAGUUUGGGGACGGUGGUGCUCCCCUGCUCCCUUAGCAGACGUUGCCCUUUUGCUGCCUGCAGCCGCCUUGCCGAGGGGAAGCGUGGGCUCUGCCUCAGUGAGGUGCUGCAGGGCGGCCAAACAUCCUCAGCAGAUAGAGAUCAUGUAAUUCAGGUGGACCACUAAACUUUUAGGCAGCAAUUAGGACUUAGGCAGUAACUCUGAGUCAACUAAUAAAUACAUCUGGGUGGUGCCUGGCUGUAUUUUCCGAUGGCAGAUCCUUCCUAUGUAGGCCUGAUGUUUCUGUGUUCUCUGCUGGCCUCCCAAAUGUUCUGCUCGGAAACCUGAUCAAAAGCCUGUGGUGACGGUAAAGGGAGAUGCCCCACUGAAUUCCACGGGUUUUCUUUGCUCCUCUAAGCUUGUAGACAAUCCCAGGUGGUUUCUUUGAUGCCCUUCUUCCCAAGUGGAUGAAGUAAUUAUGACUCCUGUGCAGCAGGCUAAUAGUUCUGAAGACUUUAGUCAGGCUGAUUAACAACUGUGCUUUAAUAAAAAAAAAAAAAAUGUUCUGGUAAAUCCUUCUGAAUUGCAGCCCUAAUUACUCUACAGCCUGAUGUGAAGCAAUUGCGAAGCUAAUAGGAUCACCUGAAUCCAGUUAAUGAAUCCUCUGCUACGGCUUGCUGUGACUCACACCGUGUGUAGUGUCUCCUGGUCUCCCCUGCCCUGCUCCAUUCCCUAGUGAAUAUUUAUGAUGUGCGCUGCCAAAGACCCACUGGGUGCACAGGACUUGUUCGCAGCUUGCUGGCGCGUGCCAGUUACAGUGUUCAGAGAGCUGACCCGGCGCUGCCUCCUUGACACGAGCGGAGGAGAGCUGGCCUCCAGGACACAGAAGAAGUAAAGGAGAAGAGGAUCCCCUUGCUUUGAUAGAAAUGAGUGAAGUGUGACGUGCCACUGCGGUGAAAGCAGUCCAGGAUCUGCCGUGUGGGCUUCUGAGUCCAGGCAGGAAGAGGAGUUACUGUGCAGCCAGAUGGUUUCGUUUCUUCAGGAAGAUUAAUUACCUAGCAUCAACCGGCCUGGCCCUGGCAUCCGAGAAACAAGUACUUACGGCAACAGAUGAGCUAUCAGUUGUCCCCUCCUGAGCCUGCCGAAGGAAUUUGAUGGUCUUUUCCUCAGGCCCUUGGCGCCUAGAUUUGACGUGGUGGCAUAUGUUAAUUGUCUUAGUUCUUGAGCUUUCAGUUGAAGCUCGUAUAACAGGCAUGUAGGUGUAUUAGGGGCAGAUUGACCAAAGUUUGAAUAUACUUGCAGGAUCCCCUUCUUCAGUAAGGAACAGCUUUGCUGACAACUUCAAGAUGCCUCUCUUCCUGCCAUGGAGGAGAGACAUCUGAGCCUGACAAGGGUCACCCAGUAGGAUGGGACUGCGGCAGGGAUGUGGCUACAACAGAGGAGUGCAUGAGCUUGUCUCCUGCAAGCCUCCACAGCUCUGCAGAAGCUCCCUGAACAGCCACCAGUAGUAAGUCAGUCGUCACAGUAUGAAAUUUUGGGGUCAGACAUGGUACAGCUCCCUGCCACGUGCCUUGUUAGGCCUUAGCGAAUGAGAAAUCGCAUCUGGAAGGGCAGUAAACUUGGCUGUACUGAACUAAUGGCACUUAAGAUGACAAAUGGAUUUAAGACCAUUCUUUCAAGCCACAGCUUGAUUUGAAGUUGUCAUCAUAAAUUAGGUGCUCCUGCAAAACUGGAGAUUCGAUGGGAAUUGCUGUAUUGGGAAGAAAGACUAAAUAAUGCUCCUAAAACUUCAGAAGCAAAAGGCUAAGUGAUGCCACGGCUCCCCGUGUGCUUGUUCUGAAAUCUGUGCCCAGUGCUGGAGCGCAUGGACCUGUCUGUUCAGUUCCUCACUCAUGGGCAGAGGGUUUAGCUCCUUCCCUUUGUGCAAGUCUUCUCUUGUUUCCUGUACCCAUUUGUGACCUUCUUGGGAGGGUUGGAAGCCCCGGGGUUUUCCCUUGAGGGACAAUUGCUCAUUCUUGAAUAAGAUGUUUACUCUUGCCUGUAAUUGCAUAGGGCUUGAGCAGUGCCAAACCCUAACUGUGUUUCCUUCCCAUCUCAUUGCUUUCAUGUAGAGACAUGGGUGUGUGAAUUGCUCGAGGAGGUUCAAGUUGUGGCAUGAUAAGCCUCAUCUCUGGGCACUUUCCCAAUCUGUGUUGUCAGGAGCAGGUUCUGCUCCUUGUUGUCCGUUUAUUGCAAUCCCCAGAGUACAUUGGGGUCUCCUGGCUUUUUUCCACUGCACUAUCCAGCCCUGGGUCACGAUAUUUUGAGGAGCCAUAAACUGGUUUUAAAACUGGAGGACAGGCAUCCUUGAUUCCACUUCGAAAAACUGGGGGUUUGGAGCAAUGGAAGGGAAAGGACUGUGGGUCUGUUCCAGUAUUUAUUUUGCUUAUUGGAAAACAAAAAUAUUUACCAGGCUGCUUUCAGAAACCAGCAAUCUGUAAGCUUGGUUUUCAUUAAAAAGGCAUUCAUUGUUUUUCCCCUGAGGAUUUAGUGACAUUUUUCAAAAUUUUCUAUGUACAAUAAUUGCAUUUUUUAUCAAAUUUAGUUCUGACUUUGUGACCACAAUAAAGUUUAGGAAACUAUUAUUUAUUAUGGGUUAAAAGAUUGAUUCUGGCUGCUUGGCCUGAUUACUGGACCAUACUGUGAUUUUUCUCCCAGUUGCAAACCAGCGUUGUAAAUGCUGCUUUCAGACUCUGGGGGCUGUUCCCAAAAUGCCUGGGAGAGCUACCGUCGCUAGCAUCCAUUGCUCAGCUCUUCUGCUAGGAUUCUGCUGGAGAAACUUAUGGACAGAUGCCAUGGGGAGAGACAGGAGGUGAUAUUGGAACCCCCUUCUCCUUCAGGGUCUGUCGCUUGUCUCUGUCUUCCCCAGGAUCCAGAAAGGGAUGUGUUUGUUUAUGGUGCUUUAAUUUUACCUUGGCCAGAGCUUGGUGUUGGCCAGGAGUUAGGGAGUAAACUUUCCUACAACCCUUCCUUUUUUUGUGAUCUCUCUUCUUGUGACAUUUCAGAACCAGAAGAUAAGGUGUCUUGAUGAGGAUGUUAAGUCCUCCUGCAAAGUAAGCCAUCACAUAUCCCUGCUAGCAAGUUCCAAAGGCUGUUUAGCAUUUUUUCAAGAACAGAGGGAGAAAAGAGGAUUUCCCCUUGAAAAAUGAUUCUUGGAAGAUCUGUACUGUCUUUGGAGACGGGGAGGUGAUCUUUGGAGGCACCAGAGAAGAUCUGAUGUUUGCUGUGGCUGGUCUCUAGCUCCCUAAAAGCAUGUGAACAGAGGGUCAAGGAAGUACCUAGAGGUCAGGCAUCCGAAGGGAUGUGCCCCGAGCGCAGGCCCAUCGAAGCCACCCACGCUAUUGCAUCAAGAUAGAUGUAUGUGCAUGUUGAGGGGAAGUACCUCUCCCGUGGAGGGGGCUGCUUGGCUUUUAGGCACAGCUUGCUGCUGACAUGAGGAAGGUAUGGCUGUCUUCUGGGAGCUGAACCAUGGCUGUCAGGUCCCUGGUCAGCCUUCCUUCAGGCAAUGCUGACGCUAGGCCACUAUUUACCUGCACUAAAUCGAAGCUGAGGAUGGUGAGUACACGGUUCCUACCUUGUUACUGGUGAGCUGAGCUCUGCGGCAUGGCCUUGUCUUUUGCCAGAGAAGCCCUCAGGUUUACUCUAAGACUAGAGAGGUUAGGUUAGGUUAACAAAAUAACCCGUGUGCGGUUUUCUUUUCUUCAUCCUUUUCCAGAGGGCUGUUGCCUUUCCAUUCUCCUAGUACACAUGUUGGCAUUUCAUUCCUCUACAGAGGUCAACUGAUUGCAGCCUUGCCUUAGCAAAAAACAUGGAUUCAUCGCUUCUUUACAGUGAGACUAGAGGGUUUUUGAAGAUCAUGCCAUAAUUCAGCCACAGUUAUAGAUUACAAGGCAGAAGUGAGCAAGUGAAAUCUAUGAUGUGUCAUACAGAAGGGAACUGUGAGCUGCUCUUAAUCCUAGCAGAGGUGCAAAUGACCGUGUGGGAUGGAAGAACAUAGAGGGAAGAGCCUAAGUGUAUUUAUCUGUUUCCCGUUUGGCUCUGUAAAAAAUGUUUUAAGGCAUGACAUGAUUUUUUUUUUUUAAAUCCAGCUUCCUUUUCAGUUUAUGGCCUGAACUUUCAUAACUAAAUAUGUAAAUGUGUAAAACUAAAUGUGUAAAUAAUGCAUGCAGCUACUAUAAUUGCUUGCAAAUAUUGUGUACAACAAGAAGGGAAAAGUUGGGUUUGCUCUGUAUUUAUUGCAUUUCAGUAAGCUUAGCAACUGGAAGCAGCUUGAGUCAGCUUUGCUUCAUCUCUCACACCCUUAACUGAAAGCUGCAUUGUUUAGGUUCCUAGUGGAACUGGUUGGGAAUCUUUUGAUGAGAUGAGUAUUUGUUAGUAAAUGCUGUGUUACGUAGAUGAUGACUUUUAAGGGAGAAAUGUAAAUUUCAGUUAAAAUUUUUGUGGCCGAUACAGAAUUCUAGUGCUACCUCUUCUGUCCACGGACACCUGCUCUAGUACAGCCUGGAAUCGGGCACUCAAGCUAAGAUAUGAAAGCUCCUGUCUUCAGAUCCAGCCCCACAGGUCUUCAAACCUCUUUCUCUCUCAGCAUUGGACUGUUGGCUCUUCUUCGACAGACAUCUGGGGCUGGGUAUACUCUUGAGUAAUGGGAGUCCUUAUCUUUUUUCCUUCAGUUUUUAAAAAGCUUUGAGUUUAUGCUAUGUCAAACAGUUAAACAAUCAGUCCUGGAAAUAUAUUGCAAAAGGGCAAAUAUUUUUCUCUGGAUGACUUUCAAUUCACAACCCAGAAAGAGGGAAUCCUUCCAAGAGGUUAAGCAGGAAAAAUGGCAUCUGCCCUAGGAUUGUGAAAGUUUCUGCCUUGGAGGGGCUCUUUGAGACUCCUCUCAAGACCUGCCCACUGUCGCUACUUGGAGCGAGCCAAAAUACUUCUUGCCAUCAUUGUGUAGCUGCUUGAGGGAGCCAGGCCUGGACAACUGCAUGAGACGGCAGAUCUGAUCCAGCGACUGGUAGUUGGUGCCCCAAAUCCCAGCACAGUUUGAAACACCAGAGAAAACCGUGUUUCGGACAGGUAGAGAGAGCAUGGUUCUGCUGGGAAGUUUGCUAACCCGUGCACAACUAGAAACAGUAGGUUGCCUCAGUUUCUGUAUCUACAUUUGGUCAAGGCUUCUGCUUGACAGGAGUGAGCCUGGCUGAUCUCAACAGUGAAAUUGUCUCUUCUAUUUGUAGGAGGUAAGAGCUGUACCAUUUUGUUUAUUUAUUUUUAUUGAGAAAUAAGUCUUUCACCUCCAAAACAGACAAGAUUUCGUUUUUUUUUCCUGUUCUUAUAUUAACACCCACAAACCAGAAAGGCCAAGUCUCCUGCUUUUCCUGUCCCCAGUGCAAUUUGUAGGGGCUGACUUUGCUUGCCCAUGUCUCCAGCUUCACUUAGAGCUGUGUUCACCUACGGCUGUGUUUGCAGAGCUCUUCAUGUCUGACUAGCAGAGCUCUGCAAUUUCAAUUUAUGUGCAGAUGGGUUGAAGUUCAGGCAUAAAACCUAGGAGGGUUGGUUUUGUUUUGUUUUUCCCUCUUAAGGGACACUAGGACUCCAGGCUGCCAGAAUUGAUUGGACUGGCUUGUAUAUCUUUUCUCCUGAAGCUGGCUGACAGUUUUAAACCAUCUUUAAAUCAAACCUUUGUGGCUAAGAUGUACUGAGAGCUUUUUACAAAUUAAAUGCAAAAUCUCGUCCUCUCUGUGUGGAAGGCAAACUCUUGAAUCUGGCUGCCUGUGCAUUGACAGAAAUGUGGGGCUUUCAGGUGUAUAUUUACAGACACAUGCUGCUGAGCCCUGCAGUGGUGAUAGACGCUUCCAAAUGGCCCUGCUCAGAAAGGAGAGGUGUAUCUUAGUGUUGGAAGACUGAUCCCGUGAGCCUCAUAGAUUUAUGAGAGCGAGGGACCUGAAGUGGGUAAAUGGGACAGGUGCCUAUAAAUAUAAUGAGCUAGUCUUGUGCACAGAACAGCUACAAUCUAGCUUUAUAAAUAACAGCAGCCCUUUAGGUUUCCUAGGAGGUCUGGCACUCUUACAAAUGAAUGUGCUGCUAGUUGUCUGAGACCAGACAUCGGAAAGCUGUCCAUGAGUGCUGUUGGCCCACUGUCUUUUUUCCCUGCCCCCGUUCCCUUUCUCUUUUUUUUUUUUUCCUUUGCUGCCUUUUUGUUACUGAAACACAAACCCUCUGUGGCCUGCAAUCUCUCUGUUGCUUGCUGAAGAUGAGUGAUUCAUCGGGUCCAACCUGAUAAAAUUGUGCAAGCCAGGCACCAAAGUUAAUCAGACCAAAAGGAAAGAGUAGAGGGAAGGGAGAAACAAAAACAAAGAGCCCCAGAGCUAGUUCUAAUUUUUGAGCCUCCCCUGGGAAUUUAAAAAUGCAUGUAUAAUGUUCUCAGCCUGGGUUCUCCGUCCUCCUCCCGCCUUCAUUGGGAAAUCUGAGAGCAACCCAGGCGAUGGGUUUUAAAGUGCAACUUCCGAUGUUGCAACGCCGAAGAGCGUGAUUCAACAGGCCUCCGACUGCCCUGCCACGGCUCAUUCAUGGCGCCUUGUUUGUUAAUAGCACUGGGGAGCAGGCGGCUGCGGUUGCAACCUGCUAAUCACUUCCACUCGGAUUUGUUGUGUCACACCAGCAAGGAUUGAGGUGAGGGGGCCGGGGAGCUGCUGACAUGAAUCAUGCGGUGCUCUGCUGUGUAAUUAGGAAGGAGCUCUGCGGUUCUCGCUGCACUGGUGAGAUUUCUCAGGCCUGAAACAUUAAUAAAGGCUUCCACCCACUUGAACAGUGAAUUAGCAUCAUCCUUGCUGAUCCUGAAGCAGGCCGAGCACUUGCUGGAGGCCUGGCUGUCUGGGAUCAGGAAGGACUGUGGCACGGCCAGACCAGGCAAGGCUGGUGGCCAAGUCGCUGCCGUAGCCGGGAGGACAGAUCCUGCAGGAGGGAGAGUGGUGAAAGGGAGCAGAGCGCCCGGGGCUGCUCUUGUGAAGGCCGUUGCUCCCUGCUGCGUGCAAGCUUGCGAUAGCCCUGCUCACGUCCGCCCUGUGACUAAACGGAGAUGGAGUUGCACAAGCACUUGUAAUGGGGUGUGCCUCUCCCCUGCCGGCACGCUGCGAUGCGCCGCAGCUUCCCAGGGUGCUUUCUGCUUCCACGUCUGUCACUGCAGAAUAUCUUUUCGUCUCAGCUGUUUGCAGCGGUUUAGGUGGCAGAGGGGUGUUGUGCAGGGCCUGCUGGCUUCAAGCCUGGCAUGGCCACAGGCCCAUCGGGCCACGCGUGCUGUUGGGGACAAGCAAGGGGUGAGCACGGUCACCUUGCACACCAGUUCAUUCAUCCUCGGUGCUUUGGCUCCAGGAAUUACACUGAGCUCUUAGUGAGCAUGAGGAAAUGUGUUAAACCCUGAAACCUUCACACCACCGAUGGCCUUGGUCCAGAAUGAAGAGACUAAUUAGUGAGUGAGAAUGCUUCAAGGGAUUUCCACAAAUUAUCUUGUGGUUCUUUCUAGCCUCUGAGUCCACAUUACAAUGGAAAGGCAUUUCCUUUACGCUCUCUCAUUUUAGAUUAAUUUUAGUUCAGUUCAGUUUUCUUGUAUUUGGUAUUUAAUAAUAUUAUUUAAAAACAACAUCUCCACAUGAUUUUAAUUUAGAAUUAAAUUACUUUGAUACUGUCAGGAGAAAACCACGUACCAGAUCCUCAGCUGCUGUGAAUCAGCAACAGUCCGCUGAUCUGAGCACGGCAGCGCUGAUUUCUUCCAGCGAAGGAUCUGGUCCACCCUUGUUUAAAAGGAAAACCCAUUUCCUCACCCUGGUUGCUGAAACAUUGUAUGUCAAGGUGGGAUGUGUCUAAACCACCUACUUUUACUUUUCACCACUUGUUUCCUUUUGUUUGUGCUUUACACUGCUCUCAUUCUUUGUGGGGCAAUGGAACUUUUCUGUGGGAGAUCAUUUCACUCCAAGCUCACGAGCCUUGGCACAGCUGAGUUUUGGGAGGAUGGGCUGAAUGUUGCACUGAAUAUGAAAAAUGAGAUUAUCUGCUGCAAAAUAAGACUUCCGGCUGCUAUGUUUUAGUUCUUGCAUGUAACGUUCACGCUAUACAAGGCAGGGAGAGGAACGUCUCCUACUGUUUUUUGUUCUAUAUAUGAUGCUUCCAGAAGCCAAGAGUUGGUGUGUGAUUGCACUCUUCAAGUCAGAGAGCACCUGAAGAGCUGGGUACCUCUUGAGACAAAUAAGAGGAUAUCAGGCUAGCUCCUGUGCAAUUUCUCUGAAAAAAUACCUUCCACAGACUAAAUGAGAGUCAUUUUAUUUUUGUGAAAAAGCAUCUGCUUUCCACAGCACGGUUGUAUUUUUCUGUUGGCGCUGUCAGACUGCUCUGUUUGAACACCACAGAUGACAGCUUCAUUAUCCACUGCAUCCCUUCCUUAGGAUGGGAAACACGAUGGCAUGUGGAAGAGGGAGCCCAGCUCUCGUUUCUGAUCCAAACGGUCCUGAGAGCUCUUUGGCCUGGCUCGGGGCUGGGGGCCCCAGCUGUGCCUCCCAAGGGUCCAUGUGUUUGGCAGAAAUCCUGUUAAGGUUACUGGCUUCUGCUGAGGUGGCGCUGCAAUAUUUGGACCUCAGCCACCUUCCCAUGGCAAGAGGAAGAAACCCCCUUUUUAACAGGUAACAGAGGAAAAACAGUAUUAGAGGUUGGGUGUAGCAGCCACCCUUCAUUUACUGCAGUUGCAAGAAAUUAUUAACGCUCCUUUGUGGAAUCAGGGAGCUGGAACAAUGGUGGCCUCCACCCCAAGCACACGUCACUGCCCAAAACAAAGGCGCAGCCCCAGCGUGCAUAGGUGUGGGCAGGUUUCCUUGGCUAUCGGCUUGGGAGAGCCUGGCAGGAAAGGCAGGGAGGCAACAGGGGAGAGCCUCGGGCAGAGCAGCAGUCAGGGCUUUGUGAGCUGACUGAUGGAGAAAAGCGAGCGGAAACAGGAGCAAAUAAACUGUGUCCAGCGCUGGGAGAGAUUUUGUACCCGCUUCCUACAUGAGCAGUGUUUCUGCAAAGAAAUAGCUGGCACCACUGUGAGACAGAAUCCACGUGGAGUCAACACAAGGCUCUGGUUAUCCACUUGUCUGCAGGAAAGUCACUAAAGAAAAUGAAACGAGUUGGAAAACAGAAGGCAUUGGCAGGAGAACAGCCUGUUACUGGAAUAUAUUUGUUGGAUAGCAGUAAAUGGAGGAGCCUGCUUUGCCUGGCCCUGUGCAAAUCCCACUAAGAGUUUACAAAGUAAGAAGUGAUGACUGACGCAGAGCAGAGGGGCAGCAGGGGGAGAGUGAAGUGCUUUAAAUCUCUCGUUUUCAUUUGACUCCAUUCCAGAAUGACACAGUCCACCCUAGAUUAAAAAUAGCUGCAGAGUGGAGGAGAGUUCUUUUUUUAAGCAAACUUCAGGAUCUCUUUUGGGAACAUCACAGGUUUGAUUCAGCCUCCCUCCGUAGCUUGUAUGCCAGUCUGUAAGUGGAGUUGUACCUUCAUGGGCUGAAGUAAUACUGUGAUGACUCGCAGCUGUGUCAGCCUUCCCCUUUUUGACGUGACACUGUGAGGAAGACUUAUCAACACCCUUGCUUUUACCCAGAAGCGCAUUUUAACCAGAGGCCCCGGACAGUAAGGCCAGGUGGAUCAAUACUGAUUUGGGAGCCAAGGGUCGUGACCUCAGUCUCCCAACAUACGUUUUUGGGAUGACUGUUGGGAUGACAAGGGGCUGUUGUUCACUAUGGCUUUCCGUCACUUCCUUCAAUUGCCUUUGCGUCAAUAGAAACACCUACCCACUGUCCUUUUUAGUCUGGUUUGUGGAAAAAAUACAUCCUGUGUCAUUGCUGCCUACCUGCAGAUUUCAGUCAGACUUGGCAAAGUGGAAGAGAACUCAAAGAUACUAGCUUCCAGCUUUUUCUUUUUUUUUUUUUUUUUUCCUUUAUGGAAAUAAGCAUUAGAUGGGAAAUGAGAUUUGAUUCUUCUUCACACCAAGGUGCAGCAAAAGUGCAGGUCUUGUUAGAAAAUCCCCCCUCAGAAGAGACUAAGUCCUGAGUGGCCAGCGUGGGGACACUGCUGUCAGGGUACAGAGCUGCUUUGGUCCUGUGGUAGCCUUGUACAGACGUCCCUGGGAUGCCCGGUUACUGUGCAGGAGGGCUGGAUAGGUUUUCUGACUCCCUUAUCUCCCAUCUGCUUGGGAUGGGACUGUACUGCUCUCCCUCGCUCUGCGCCCUGUAGAUGUGAUCUCUUGCAGUGUGAUCAGCGCUGGCUGCCGUGAGCUGCUGUAACCACAGGAUGAACAAACCUUCGGCUCUUUGUGCUGGGAGAUCUGCCUGGUUCAGCAGGGAAAGUUGGCUUGGCCGCUUCCUCUGUAAGGCUGGAAGGCAGCUAAUGACUCCUUUCCUAAUUGGCAGAGAGCUGAUAAAAACUCAGGCUGGCACAGCACGUUGAAAGCUGCGCUGCUCAGCCUCCUCGCUGAGACAGGAGGGACAGAAAAUUGUGGGGAAAACUGGAAAACAAGGCCGCAAGGGCAGGAAUCCCCACUUUACAGGCUUGCAAAUGAGGAAGGGAGAGAUUUAGCCUCAAAUUUUGCUUUUGUUGAACUGGAAGUAUAUUAUCUUCAAAUAAAAUCAACUAAAAAAAUCAAGUUAGGUUCAAAAAAUGUUGGGGGAUUCUAAUCCACAGACGUUUAAUUACUAGAAUUAUUUGGUCGUUUGAAUAGCUCCGUAUAUUUUUCUGUGAAUUUACUGUUUUCUGUAAAACCAAACAAGUUACCUAGCUCUCUUGGAGGCAGAUGGGACUGGUGGCGCGGCAGCUAAGGACAAGAGGUGCCUGGCAGAAGCAGGAGGCUGCGAGCAGACGGGAAUCCCUCGGCCACUUCUCUCCAAGCACCACGAACGGCGCCGCUGUUGGCUGGAGGAUUUUUGAUGCUGCUUCAGACCAGACCAAAAGGCCUUUUCUAGGAGCUCAAACCCGAAUAACGAGACGAAUACACGUUUUUCUUGGUCUUCUCCAUUAUGUUGCCUCCCAGUGCUACCUCUCCCCCACCUUUCAGGGUGGCUGUGUUUUUUCCCAGCGCGUGAGCAGGGAGAGGUUGACAGUUCCUUGUAAGGGGCCUCGCCUGCUGCUGCUUUGCCUUGCAGGAAGCCUGACUUACGCAGAUCCUGCUGCUUAUCUCAGGUGGGAGGCAGAGAAUGUCUUCAGCAGUGAGCUAGGAGCGACAGCUUCUGCGUAGUAAUGGGGCUCUUCAGGGGACAGCAGGGCAUGUCCUGAUGUGCAAAGCCCUCCUAUCAGAGAUGGGAUCCUCUUGUGCUGGACAUUCACGGAUAGAAAGAGGUUGUCCUGUAUCGCAGAACUUGUUAAAGUAGACAAGGGGUUGUGUGCAGAGAAACGCUGGCGUCCUUUUGGUGGGCCAUCAGGAAGCAGCAAAUGGGCCCAGCAAAGUCAGUUCCACGUGCACAAAAUGAGUUUCUCAAGAGCAUAAAUGUCCUGUGCUCAUUCAGCUCUACAGAUCUGGUUUCGGCACAUCAUUGCAGUAGUCUAGCGUGCACUUCGGGGAUGCAGUUAGAGGAGGCAGCUGUGCUCAUCCUUGCCACAGUGGGGUUUUUGUUUCUACUUUCUGCUGGUUCAGUGGCUUCAGUUGUCUCAUUGAAGCAUCCCUAGUGCCAGAAACAUCAGCAACAGUGGAAUCAAGGCUGGCUUUUCUGACAACUAUUAGAUUAUGUCAGCCAUUGUAGUUUACUCGCUCCUGGUGCCGUUUUUUUCUCUUCACAGGUGGGUCCCUGGCAUCCCCGAGUUUCUGCAGUUUGCAACAGGCCUCUCUGGUUGCAGUUUGGUCCCAGCUGACACUAUUGUGCCGCGCAACAGCCUCCAGAAUAUCUGCCAUGGGACGAGACCUUUUGGCUGCAGGAGUCUGUCGCUGUUCAAGCAUGGCCCAGAUCCUUAGAUAAAGGUACCAGCUCAGGCUCUGUCGGAGACAGUUGUGGGCCACGCAGAUGACUGCUGUGGAGCUGCCUGGCUGGUCUAGGAGUUUGGGGAGAGGAGUCAGAGAGGUCACCCAUGCUCGUUAUGUUCCUCUAAGUUCCCAGCCAAAUGUGCUGACAGAAGAAAUUGUUCCCAACAGUUCAAACUCUGCCGAGAUCCUCUGUCAAGGCUUGUUCCUACAGCCUGCACUGUCCACACUAUCGUCAAAGGGGGGAAAAGUGCUCUGCUUUGGGAUACCGAGCCAUCGCCGAGGUCUGUCCCAUGCAGCUGGUGGGCCCUGUGAAUGCACAGCCCCGCGUCACCUCUUCCGUCCUGCCCCUGGAGAGGUCUCUCAUCUUGUGAACCUUUGGGAACAAAGAAAGGAUCUGAAGGACAUCUGAUUCCAUGCCAUCCAAAUCUGGUAGCUGCUCACUGUUGGUGCAGAUAUGAAGAUGUGGUGCUUGUACGCCUCGGGACAUCACACCUAUGCUAGUAGGACACUAUCAGAAGUAGUUUCAAGAUGGGACCGCAGCCCAGGGGUCUGAGGAAGAAGGCACGGAAGUCUUGAAGGCGCAGGGCAGAGGAAGACAGUUGAUAGACCAGGCUGAAGUUUGAUCUGGUGAUUUCAUCAGUCUCAUGUCAAGUUAAUCCUCUGGGAACUCGAUGGAACCCGUGAAGUCAUGCCAAGACUUAAAGUUGGCGUGAAGCUGGAGGGAUGAGUCCAGCCGCCACCUGAAUCGAGUCAUGGCACAUGCGACAAGCUGGCUGCUGCUCGUGUACAGACUCCGGCUCCUGCAGUCCACCCUCAGAAGCACUAAUUGUGCAGCUGGCUGAGAGCAUGCAAGAAUGGCAGCACUGGUGGUGGAAGGGAAACCCAGAUCUCCCAAGUACCAGACCAGCGGCUCCUUCAAGGUGCACCCUUCUGCACAGUAUUUGCUCUGGUUGCUGUGUGAUGCUCAGCUCUUCUGUCCCUGAAGUAGAGCCUGUGCUGGGGCCAAUGCUGGCUGCAGCUGAUGGAGAAAGCCCCAGUGUUCUGGAGGUGAAGCAGGUGGCAGGGGAGUUGCAGAAGGAGAUGCUGGUAGGAAUUCCAACUCAGGGCCGUGUCCCAGGUCCAUACUGACUACCGCUGUCAGUGACGUGACUGAUGACCUGCUAUCCUGGUUUGGAUAGCGCCUGGCAUCGCGGAGACAUGAGCUGCAUCCAGUCCUCGUACAGCAAUGCACAUAAAUAACAGCGAUCUAAUGGCACAGCCACUUUGCUGUAUGGAGCUAAAUGGAUUGAAUGUAGUUAUCUGCCUGAUGUACUCCCUGGGCGUAAUGGAGUCUUCUGACCACGUCAAAAGGGGAAGAAAGGCAAGCCACUUGCAUUUUGUGCCUCUGUGGGUGAAGUGGAACAAGAUGAACCCAUUUAAUUUGCUACAUGAAAGCAGACUUGAAGCAUAUUGGUUGGCAUGUGUUGUGUUUUUUUCUAGAAGCCAGUGGCAUGGGUAUUCUUUCUGUGCUUGGCAAAUGCAUGUCACAGACAAGCGAUCCCACCAGAUAAUGUUGUCACUAGCACUUAAUGUCAAACGGGACUCUUGUAAGUCAUCCUUGCGGCUUUGACUAAUGAAAUGCUGAGUGAACUGAUAAGUGUCCCUUUCACAGCCAGCCUGACAAAAUGUGGGAAAAGCUACAUCUCAGCAGAAGCCUGGCUUCUGUACCCUUCCAUCACU